rnacentral:lncRNA from 1 species
ACAAGUAUUGACGACUAACAGUGAUAUAGGUAAACUUGAACAACGCAUAUGACGACGACACAACUCACUAAAGACGACGACAAUAGGAGACUGGCUAGGAGACCAAGGUAUGAAAUGUCGAGCGCGAGCGACACCUAAGUUUACCCCACGUAAGUUUUUAAAUUUUUUAAAUUACCAAAAUCGACAUUACCGACAUACUAGGCGACAUACAUUUUACUGAAACGACAACAGAUGAUGCGACGGCGGUUGCGAUUAUCGGAGGAAUUCCCCAGUAGUUGUGGCGUUAUUGAGCAAUAGUGAGUAGUUUCACAACUUGUAAUAUUUUAAAAUUUUUGUGAAAAGUACUUUUACCUAUCCUGAAAAAAAACCGUGAUGUACAGUCUACACUAUUACGGGGUCAAAUUAAUUUGAAAUAGAUUAUACAGCUCCUGCAGGAGUUAAAGGUCAAGAAGCCGCUUUCCAUUUUCCUGAAGUAACAGCGGUUUCAACGAAAGUGGCAGAACUUCUUCUGGUAGAGGAAUAGAAGCAGACGGAAUUGCCCCAUUAAAAGAUGAAAAAGUACUGCAUCCAGUGAAAACAUAUGACGGGAAAAGAAGAAUUGUUUCAACUGCAGAAAGUACACUC